CUUUUCGAUCCCACAUGGACAUUUUCCAGUCGGUGCUGCUAUCUCUCCUGAAGUUACAGCAGAAAAUCUAAUUCUGAGGUCAGAAAGUUUGCCUAUCAACUUGCGGUGGAAUUUAACUUAAAGCAUCCACAAACCUGGGAUGAGAAGAAUAUGGCAGGGCCUGAUUGGUUCAGCUCGUUCAUGAAGCGGAACCCUAGACUUUCACUGAGGAGUCCACAGGCAACUAGCCUUUCAAGGGCCACCAGUUUCAAUCGCACUAAUGUUGCACUCUUCUUCGAUCGACUGGGGGAGGUGAUUGCUAAAAAUGGGUUUGAUGGAAGUGAUAUUUGGAAUGUCGAUGAAACCGGUGUGACAACGGUCCAGGCACCAUCCCGAGUAGUAGCACGCCGGGGUAUGAAGCAGGUUGGUGCCAUGACGUCAGGGGAGAGGGGCACACUUGUGACAGUGGCAUAUGCUGUGCAAGCUCUGGGGAAUACCAUUCCCCCAUUCUUUGUGUUCCCUCGUAAGAAUUUCAAAGAUCACUUUGUUCAGGGCGGGCCAUUGGGGAGUGCAGGAAGUGCUAAUUCAUCAGGCUGGAUGCAGGAAGAGGAUUUUUUAUUGUUCCUCGCUCACUUUGUGAAGCACACAAAGGUUUGUCCAGAAAGAAAGGUGUUGCUCCUGUUUGAUAACCACUCCUCUCACAUCUCUGUGAGAGCUGUGGAUUCCUGCAAAGGCCAGGGAAUUGUACUACUUACAUUCCCACCUCAUUGCAGCCAUAAACUACAACCACUCGAUCGCAGUGUGUUUGGUCCGUUUAAAAGGAUGGUGAAUUCGGCGAGCGAUGACCUGGAUGAGGGGGAAUCCAGGGAAAAGUAUGAGCAUUUAUGACAUCCCAGGCAUCGUAAUAAGAAUCCAUCGCAGGUCAGUCGUUCAGUCCAUUUCUCAUUAGGCCAUUUCCAAAAGCAGGCCCAAGGAAAGAGACAGGUAGGGGUAGGAAGAAGAGGCGCUCGGAAAUCCUCACUGACACACCAGUGAAGCUGGCAUUGGAAGAGGAGGAGCGUCGAAAAGGAAAAAACAUCAGGAAAAAUAUCUUGGGGAGUGAGAAAAGCAAAAACAAGAAGGCAAAAAAACCUGCCAAGAAAAGGGUGAAGGCUGAUGACUCCUCUUCUGAAGAAGAGGAUUUUUGUGUCAUCUGUAUGGAGCCAUUUACAAAUUCAAAAUCCAAAGAGGUGUGGGUCAAGUGUAUUUUAUGUACCGUUUGGGCCCAUCAGGCAUGCACUCCAGGCAUGCCCUCCAGGCAUGCCCAAUUUCAUUUGCCAGCAUUGCGAUUCUGAUUAACAGUGCAUUUAAAUUGUUUGCCCUUGUUACCAUUGUGACUUAAGAAUGUCUUUCAUUUCUUUGUUGUGGUCACUAUUUUGACUUUAGAAUGUCUUUCAUUUCUUUGUUGUUGUCACCCUUGUGACUUAAGAUAAAACAUUUAAUUUGUUUGUUCGUGUCACAAUUGUGACUGAUUAAGAAUGCCAUAUGGCUCUGAAGAAUGCAUGCACAAACACACACAAUAUGCACAUACACUGCCAAUAUUCACACACAUUGUAUUGUUGCCUGCCAUUCAUUUGAAAUAAAACUGUUGUUGUGGCAUAUCA